rnacentral:lncRNA from 1 species
CUAUUACUAUAAAUCACCACCACCUCCAUCGCCAUCACCUCCACCUCCAUAUUACUACAAGUCUCCACCACCGCCAUCUCCAUCACCGCCACCACCCUAUUACUACAAGUCUCCUCUUUCACCGUCGCCUUCUCCUCCACCUCCAUACUAUUACCACUCUCCACCCCCUCCAGUAAAGUCUCCUCCUCCUGCCUAUUACUACAGCUCACCUCCUCCACCCGUGAAAUCACCACCUCCACCAGUAUACAUUUAUGCUUCUCCGCCACCUCCAAUCCACUACUAAGUAUUUCUAAGAGCUCAGCCAUUCUCCACAAUCAAUCAAGUGAGUUGC